AUGCGAGCGGUAAGAGUGCGGCGGGACUUGGAAAUCGAAUCUGUGCUCUGUGAGAGAUCCUAGGAAAGGAAACUGGGAGCCCGGGAGAACUAAAAUUCCCAAUUAAAAGUGAAUUUAAAUCUGAGCUGUUCUUAGACCCAGAAUUUCUUGCCUGAAGGAGGAAUCAGGUCCCCACAAGGAAAGACCCUGCAACUGUAUAAAAAAAGAAUCUAAAAAGAUCAUGACUCCUUCAGUCCUUUCCCAAAGAGACCUAUGGAAAUUUCCUCAGGAAGAGGGACCAAGCAAAACCCCAGAAGAGUUGAUCUCAAAGCUUAUUUUAUGAAGAAAAUUGACCUGAGUGACACAAAGGGUUGGACUGUAGUAGAUGUCACGUUUUGCUGCCUAGAUCUCCAUCCAGGGAUGAACUCUUAUUUCCUCAGCUUCUUUGUCUCCUCAGCUUCUGGGAGGGUUGGCAGCUGAUAUUCUCACCUGAGUCCCUUUCUAGGACUUGCCCUUGCCUGAAGAGAGCUGUGCUGCCCAACAUGAUGCCUCCUCCAAGGUACAAUCCACACCCAGUGACUAAUAAACAGGGGUUACAAAGGCAUGCCUGCUUGCCCCAGUUUGGGACAACUUUACCAGGCCAACCCAGCCUCAAGGCUCUCCACAGGAACAGGUGAGGCCAUAGUUGUGAUUACAUCACAGGUCAGUUUCUCCUCUGCCCAAGCCUUCUUCCUUCAUUCCUCCACAGAUGCUGAUCCUGAGAUUCCUUUCCAGUAAACUUCCUCCAUGCAAUCUUCAUCUCAGGAGUCUGUUUCCUGGGGAAACUAACCUGCAACUGAUACAAAUGCCUAUUCUGUGAGAUAAAACACUAAAAGUACAAUGCGAGUGGUAUAAAUAUUCUGCUACAGGAAUACAAAGUCAGGUAUCAUUUUUGACUUAGGUAGUCAGAGAAUGGAGAUAUUCUGAGUUGGACUUCUGAGAUACUAGGAUUCAAUAGGUGAAGGGAAGAUGAGAUGGUAUAAGACUAACAUAGGCAGAAUUUUGCUAAACGAAUUGGAGAUGAAACAUCAUAAGUGCAGGUGCACAAGUAGAAAAGUAAAAUCAGAGCUCAAGGAAGGAGAAGUGAUCCAGCUGGGCAGAAAUAUGGGGCCUAUAUAGAGAUAUACCAGGAAAUAAAGCCAGGACGAAUGGCAGGGUAGGACCUGAUUGUUAAGGGUCUUAAAUGCUGGGGUCAAGAUUGUGGCCCUUACUUAAAAGUUGGUUGGGCAUGAUUUUGGGAGUUGUAGCAAAAGAUGUGGCAAACUCAAAGCUUCCUUUUCAUGUAAAGUAUAGAGAAGUGGAGGUUCAUAUCAUUAAAUCACUGUAAUUUCAGUGUGAACUUCUAACAAUUUGAGCUAACCAUGAGAUAGGACACCUUAUCAAGCAAUGAGCUCUUCAUUAUCUAAAGAGAUGCUGAAUUUCAAGUCCAUGUAGAGGAAGUCUUGUGUUGACUAGAGCAUAAUAUGUCUGGGGGGACUUUUCUUCUUUUUUACUGAUAUUUAGUAACUUGGAUAUUGUGCUAAGUGCUUUACAGGUAUUCUUAUUUAAUCCUCACAAGGCAGUAUGGUAGAUAAUCUAUUAUAUUGAAAAUAAUGGGCCAGGCACAGUGGCUCACGCCUGUAAUCCCAGCACUUUGGGAGGCUGAGGUGGGUGGAUCACCUGAGGUCAGGAGUUCAAGACCAGCCUGACCAACAUGGUGAAACCCUGUCUUUACUAAAAAUACAAAAAUAAGCGUGGCAUAGUAGCUCACACCUGUAGUCCCAGCUACUCAGAAGGCUGAAGCACGAGAAUCACUUGAACCCACGAGGUGGAGGUUACAGUGAGCCAAAAUCACACCACUGGACUCCAGCCUGGGUAAGAGAGCAUGACUAGGUCUCAAAAGAAAGAAAGAAAAUAAUGAACAAAAAAUGUUGAGUGGGCAGUAUUAAAUUAAAAAAAAACCUAAUGUAUUAAAGAAGGAGAAAAGUAUAAAAAUUAGUCAACAAGCAGAGAAAGAAAGAAAAUAUAAAGGUAAAAAUGUAUGUUAUCCAAAUGAGACCUCUUAAGAAGAAAAAAUAAAGGAAAUUCAAAAAAUAAGUUAGGAAAUAGUGAGUAAAAUUAUGAAGUUAAAAAUUCACCAAAAAUUUAUUGAUAUGUCCAAGUUCAGCUUGUAGUGAACAGACUCUUCUUAUGCAGAAUUUGAGCAAAGUGCUAACACAACAGAGUUAGGUAAUGGGAUGAGGGUCAGUCAGAUCACUCUAUUUUUGGAAACUGGUUUCAUGACUGCUUCCCCUUACUUAGUCAUAAACAGGCUAUAUAAAAAGCUGUCAGAGUGGAAAGAGGGAGAGGAUUUGUGAAUUUUUUUUUUUAGCAUGUUUUUAUGGUUCUGUAAGUCACCACCCUCCCAAAGGGAUGAAGUUUCGGGGUGCACUCCCCUUACCUCAGCCUAGUAGGGGGACUUCCAGGAGAUAAUGAGAGAGUUGGAUGUUUCCUCAAAUUUACAGACACAAAGACUGGUGCCUGGCUUCUCCUGAUAAAGCUAAACCUGCAUGUGGCUGGUCUCUAGUUGGCUAGAUAGUAGUAGUUAAAAUGAAAAGAAACACUUAAUGUUAGAUGCCAUCCAAUAGGGCCACCUAAAGGGAUGGAAGGUUCUCAACAACAAGAGCCCAGAGGUAGAAGCAAGACUCUUAGCGGGGAAGGAUGGAGUCGCAAGUGAAAACCUAGACAAAGAAGCAUCUGUCCUGGUCCAGAGGCUUCCCCAAUAAAGAUGUCUCACACAACUCUAAGAAGUUAGAACUCGAGAAAAAGACUAACAAGAAAAAGAGUAAGGUGUGUUUGUGGAAGAGGUGAGGCAGUUGUUUUCCUAUAAAUAAUGUUAAAUUAAACUAAAUUUGGUCUGAGGAUGCCUCGUAACUUGAGUCGCUACAUAACAAACUGCAACCUAACUUAGGAGUAUUUUUUUUUUGUACUAACGAGGUGAGUCUCAGCCAAUCACAGCAGCCAAGCUACAGCCAAUCCCAUGUGGCCAACUGAUCAGCCUAUGCCCAGUAAGACAACUGCUCACCUGUAACUACUCAAGCUGCUUCUGGACCUCAUUUCCAUUUGCUGUUUAUAAGUGCUGCCUGCCCACUUUGCUGAGCAGAACUCUCUGAACUUCUUUCGUUUUUGAGGGUUACUUGAUUAGAAAAUUGUUCUUUGUUCAAUUAAAUUUUGCUAAAUAU
rnacentral:lncRNA from 10 species